rnacentral:rRNA from 1 species
UACGUAGGGGGCAAGCGUUAUCCGGAUUUACUGGGUGUAAAGGGAGCGUAGGCGGCGACGCAAGUCAGAAGUGAAAGCCCGGGGCUCAACUCCGGGACUGCUUUUGAAACUGCGUUGCUAGAUUGCGGGAGAGGCAAGUGGAAUUCCUAGUGUAGCGGUGAAAUGCUUAGAGAUCAUACAGAACACCGAUUGCGAAGGCAGCUUACCAAGCUACUUCUGACGUUGAGGCACGAAAGCGUGGGGAGCAAACAGG